GGUCUUGAGUUUCAGCGCACAGCCCCGGCUUGCUGGACAGCAACCCUCCACCGCGGUGGGGUGCUCCGGGUGACGACACGGCACCGGCCACCCGGUCGGUGCAAGCGCGGACU
rnacentral:ncRNA from 1 species